GUGGAUUAGAUACCCUGGUAGUCCACGCUGUAAACGAUGGAUACUAGGUGUAGGAGGUAUCGACCCCUUCUGUGCCGGAGUUAACACAAUAAGUAUCCCACCUGGGGAGUACGGCCGCAAGGUUGAAACUCAAAGGAAUUGACGGGGGCCCGCACAAGCAGUGGAGUAUGUGGUUUAAUUCGAAGCAACGCGAAGAACCUUACCAGGACUUGACAUCCCUUGAUCGCUGUAGAGAUACAGUUUCCCUUCAGGGCAAGGAGACAGGUGGUGCACGGCUGUCGCCAGCU
rnacentral:rRNA from 1 species